rnacentral:rRNA from 1 species
UACGGGGGGGGCAAGCGUUGUUCGGAAUUACUGGGCGUAAAGGGCGCGUAGGCGGCCUUCUAAGUCGGACGUGAAAUCCCUCGGCUUAACCGGGGAACUGCGUCUGAUACUGGUUGGCUUGAAUCCGGGAGAGGGAUGUGGAAUUCCAGGUGUAGCGGUGAAAUGCGUAGAUAUCUGGAGGAACACCGGUGGCGAAGGCGGCAUCCUGGACCGGUAUUGACGCUGAGGAGCGAAAGCCAGGGGAGCAAACGGG